GAUGAAGAACGUAGCAAAAUGCGAUAAGUAAUGUGAAUUGCAGAAUUCAGUGAAUCAUCGAAUCUUUGAACGCACAUUGCGCCCCUUGGUAUUCCAUGGGGCAUGCCUGUUCGAGCGUCAUUUGUACCUUCAAGCUCUGCUUGGUGUUGGGUGUUUGUCUCGCCUCUGCGCGUAGACUCGCCUCAAAACAAUUGGCAGCCGGCGUAUUGAUUUCGGAGCGCAGUACAUCUCGCGCCUUGCACUCAUAACGACGACGUCCAAAAGUACAUUUUUACACUCUUGACCUCGGAUCAGGUAGGGAUACCCGCUGAACUUAAGCAUAUCAAUAAGCGGAGGA
rnacentral:misc_RNA from 1 species